GGUGCGUAUGCGGGCUGUUAUGUCGGUGGUCCAAUGUCUGGGCUCAACCCCAGCCUGCCGUUGAAACUGGCGGUCUUGAGUGAGCGAGAAGUAUGCGGAAUGCGUGGUGUAGCGGUGAAAUGCAUAGAUAUCACGCAGAACUCCGAUUGCGAAGGCAGCAUACCGGCGCUCAACUGACGCUGAGGCACGAAAGCGUGGGGAUCGA
rnacentral:rRNA from 1 species